rnacentral:rRNA from 1 species
UUUCCGUAGGUGAACCUGCGGAAGGAUCAUUACCGAAUUGAAGCUUUGAAGGUUGUUGAAACACAGUCGGCUGAGCAGAACCAGUCGCAAGACACACAGAAGGUGAAAUUGUCCGAUAGGAGCUACGCCAUCGGGAUGCACGGGCGGUCACCAUGCCGCGCGCUGCAUACCGUUGUCCGUAGUCACCUAACGGGUAUACUAACACGGACCAAAGUACGAGGCAGAGAGAGAGAGAGAGAGAGAGAGAUGACCGAACUAGAUGACAGAAAGUUGCAAAAAUGACACACACAAGCAGAAUUCGUUCGUUGCAUACUCGUUGAAACUUCGGGGUACCUUUCGGGUUUGCCGACUGACCGUAUUUGUCGGCGUGGCUCAGUGAGCAGGUCGCGGGAGUCCCCCGCGGCUUUGCGAAGGUUCAAAGAACCGCUUUCGUCGUAUCUUCGGCGCACGCUACCGUUUCUUUUCGGAACACCGGCGGUGCUGUUGUGCGGCGAUGGCGCGGUCGCCCCGAAGCCAUGUUUUUUGUUUACGUACGGUUGAUAUUCCGACGCCUGCCGGUCGACGGAGACCGCCCCGGUCGUCUGGGGUGGACGAAGUCGUGCCGGUACGGCGCUGCCACAAUUGGUGUAAAGCGAUACAACUCUAAGCGGUGGAUCACUCGGCUCGUGUGUCGAUGAAGAGCGCAGCCAGCUGCGUGAAGUAAUGUGAAUUGCAGGACACAUUGAACAUCGAUAUCUUGAACGCACAUUGCGGCCUCGGGUAUUCCCGAGGCCACGCCUGUCUCAGGGUCGGUUGAACUUAUCUAUCGUCGGUUGACCGUAUUUGCCGACGCAUUGGAUCGUCGCGGAGCGCUGACCGUAAAGGCGCGAUCGGCUGACCGUAUUUGCCGAUCGCGCUGCGCGCCACGUCGUCCGAAGUACAGACGGGUCUGCCUAUGCUUUGCCGACCGCACGUCCUAAAUCCGCCCUUGCGGACGGGGACGGCGACUCGGACCGUAAGAGAAGCCGUCGCCUGUUGCUCUGGCGGUACGGUUGGCGAAGCGUUGGGCGGGCCCAAGAACGAAGACGUCGUCGGCGGCGAAGCGAUUCGUCGUCGGCGGCCGUCAUCUUCUUCGACCUGAGAUCAGACGAGAUUACCCGCUGAAUUUAA